rnacentral:rRNA from 1 species
UACGUAGGAGGCGAGCGUUGUCCGGAGUUACUGGGCGUAAAGGGUGCGCAGGCGGCGGUUCGCGUGGCGAGAUGAAAUCUCCUGGCUUACCUGGGAGGAUGGUCGCCAGACGGGAUCGCUUGAGGGUCGGAGAGGGGCGUGGAAUUCCGGGUGGAGCGGUGAAAUGUGUAGAGAUCGGGAGGAACACCGGUGGCGAAGGCGGGUCUCUGGGCAUCUCCUGACGCUGAGGCGCGAAAGCGUGGGGAGCAAACGGG